rnacentral:lncRNA from 1 species
GGAUGAAUCUCCAUGGAAGGACCGAGUGAGGUUAUCUUUCCUUCUUACGGAUGUAUUGAACGGACCCGGAGGAGCUGCCAACCUGCUUGGAGGGACUGCUAACCUUUCAACACCCUCUGGUCACAUCCCAUCUCCCAGACUAGCAGCAUUCCCAAAGGGCCUGUACCACAGCAGGGCUCUCAGGCCCAGGAUGGAAUUGGUUGUAGAGCCUCCAGGUGCCAUGUCCUCCUCACCCAUACUCCUCUCCCCUCAUGGGCAGAAAGUGCUAACAGAAACACUGGCCCAUGGGGGCUGGGGGACUGGCACAGUAGAGACUGAAGAAAAGCUGGCCUGCUUCCGCUGUGGGAAGAGAGGCAGGGGUGCGCUUUGCAGAUUGGUGGGCCGGGUCAGCAAGCAUUUGCUGAAUAGUUCUGGGAGGAGGGAACACUCUGGCAAGGGCAAGGCUAAAGGAAGGCGCUGUCACCAAAUGCGUUUUGGCCUUGGCUCCCCAAGAAUCGGAGCCCAGUGAAUCCAGGGGAGGCCAGGCUAAGCUGGCUGGACUCGGUGUCAGUCCCAGAAUCCUUCUGCUCCUUCGUGGGUUCCUCAUGUGCCCUUCAGACAAGGUCCUGCACCCAGGGAGAAGGAAACCACGUUUGCAGCAGAGACUCAUCAAAUAGGCAGACACUAGAAGCUUGAUUCUGAGGCCAAUAUCAACAUACCUCAUGCGUGUCCCAUACACUCUGACCUUCCACAAGGGACAAAGAUGGGAGAACCAGCGCCCUCUAGCCCUCGGAGAGCUGGGAAACUGAGUCCUGCUAACAGAACCAAAACUCCUAGGAAGAGAUCUAAAAUCUUAGGAAAAUGAAAAGAGGGACUCUACGGGGGAUGGGAAACAGACUUGGUUCUCAUUGAUAGUCUGACAAGUGAAAUUUGAAAUAAAAUCACUAUAAGAAAAUAUUUCCAAAGAUUUAAAAAUCCCAAUUUGGGAUUGAGUGGAGAUGUCAGGCAAGGCUAA